rnacentral:lncRNA from 1 species
GUUCCCUGCUCAGUUUCACAGCCUGAGAUGAAGACAGAAAUGAACAGAGAAGCAUGAAAGAAGCAGAGAUUGUGGGACAUAGAAACACAAAUCUCAGUUCCAGAGUCUCCUCUCCUUGUUCUGUUCCACCAGCUGUGUGCACACAGGAAGCCACCAGGCAACACUUCUGGUUUCAAGAAGCAGCCAUAUAAGACUUCAAUAAAUAUUCAUGGAAUGGAAUGAAUGACAGUCCCACUACACCAGUAAAAACCACCAUGCCUUUGGACAUGCUGGCUUCCA